rnacentral:rRNA from 1 species
GCAAGUCGAGCGCUCUCUUCGGAGGGAGCGGCGGACGGGUUAGUAACGCGUGGGAACGUGCCCUUCUCUACGGAAUAGCCAUUGGAAACGAUGAGUAAUACCGUAUACGCCCUUCGGGGGAAAGAUUUAUCGGUUAAGGAUUGGCCCGCGUUAGAUUAGAUAGUUGGUGGGGUAAUGGCCUACCAAGUCUACGAUCUAUAGCUGGUUUGAGAGGAUGAUC